rnacentral:rRNA from 1 species
UACGUAGGGUGCAAGCGUUGUCCGGAAUCAUUGGGCGUAAAGCGCGUGUAGGCGGUUCGGUAAGUCUGCUGUGAAAGUCCAGGGCUCAACCCUGGGAUGCCGGUGGAUACUGUCGGACUAGAGUACGGAAGAGGCGAGUGGAAUUCCCGGUGUAGCGGUGAAAUGCGCAGAUAUCGGGAGGAACACCAAUUGCGAAGACAGCUCGCUGGGACGUUACUGACGCUGAGACGCGAAAGCGUGGGGAGCAAACAGG